GAACUAUGGUGUGGGCAACAUCUUAGCAAGUCCUUGUACCUCUCCCACACAUCAUACAUGCUCUCAUCAUCACAUUGCACAAAAGAAGAAAUAUCAUUACGACAUCU